AUGAACGCUAGCUACAGGCUUAACACAUGCAAGUCGAGGGGCAGCAUGGUCUUAGCUUGCUAAGGCCGAUGGCGACCGGCGCACGGGUGAGUAACACGUAUCCAACCUGCCGUCUACUCUUGGACAGCCUUCUGAAAGGAAGAUUAAUACAAGAUGGCAUCAUGAGUCCGCAUGUUCACAUGAUUAAAGGUAUUCCGGUAGACGAUGGGGAUGCGUUCCAUUAGAUAGUAGGCGGGGUAACGGCCCACCUAGUCUUCGAUGGAUAGGGGUUCUGAGAGGAAGGUCCCCCACAUUGGAACUGAGACACGGUCCAAACUCCUACGGGAGGCAGCAGUGAGGAAUAUUGGUCAAUGGGCGAGAGCCUGAACCAGCCAAGUAGCGUGAAGGAUGACUGCCCUAUGGGUUGUAAACUUCUUUUAUAAAGGAAUAAAGUCGGGUAUGGAUACCCGUUUGCAUGUACUUUAUGAAUAAGGAUCGGCUAACUCCGUGCCAGCAGCCGCGGUAAUACGGAGGAUCCGAGCGUUAUCCGGAUUUAUUGGGUUUAAAGGGAGCGUAGAUGGAUGUUUAAGUCAGUUGUGAAAGUUUGCGGCUCAACCGUAAAAUUGCAGUUGAUACUGGAUAUCUUGAGUGCAGUUGAGGCAGGCGGAAUUCGUGGUGUAGCGGUGAAAUGCUUAGAUAUCACGAAGAACUCCGAUUGCGAAGGCAGCCUGCUAAGCUGCAACUGACAUUGAGGCUCGAAAGUGUGGGUAUCAAACAGGAUUAGAUACCCUGGUAGUCCACACGGUAAACGAUGAAUACUCGCUGUUUGCGAUAUACUGCAAGCGGCCAAGCGAAAGCGUUAAGUAUUCCACCUGGGGAGUACGCCGGCAACGGUGAAACUCAAAGGAAUUGACGGGGGCCCGCACAAGCGGAGGAACAUGUGGUUUAAUUCGAUGAUACGCGAGGAACCUUACCCGGGCUUAAAUUGCAGAUGAAUUACGGUGAAAGCCGUAAGCCGCAAGGCAUCUGUGAAGGUGCUGCAUGGUUGUCGUCAGCUCGUGUCGUGAGAUGUUGGGUUAAGUCCCGCAACGAGCGCAACCCUUAUGGUCAGUUACUACGCAAGAGGACUCUGGCCAGACUGCCGUUGACAAAACGGAGGAAGGUGGGGAUGACGUCAAAUCAGCACGGCCCUUACGUCCGGGGCUACACACGUGUUACAAUGGGGGGUACAGAGGGCCGCUACCACGCGAGUGGAUGCCAAUCCCAAAAACCUCUCUCAGUUCGGACUGGAGUCUGCAACCCGACUCCACGAAGCUGGAUUCGCUAGUAAUCGCGCAUCAGCCACGGCGCGGUGAAUACGUUCCCGGGCCUUGUACACACCGCCCGUCAAGCCAUGGGAGCCGGGGGUACCUGAAGUGCGUAACCGCGAGGAGCGCCCUAGGGUAAAACUGGUGACUGGGGCU
rnacentral:rRNA from 1 species